rnacentral:rRNA from 1 species
AUUGAACGCUGGCGGCAGGCCUAACACAUGCAAGUCGACCGAGUGGCAGACGGGUGAGUAAUGUCUGGGAAACUGCCUGAUGGAGGGGGAUAACUACUGGAACCGGUAGCUACUACCGCAUACCAUCUGAUGUGCCCAGAGGGGAUGAGCUAGUGGGUGGGGUAAAGGUUCACCUAGGCUACGCUCCCUAGCUGGUCUGACAGGAUGACCGGCAACACGGGAACUGAGACACGGUCCAGACUCCGACGUGAGGCAGCAGGGGGGAAGAGUGCACAAUGGGCUCAAGCCUGAUGCAGCAAUGCCGCGUGUAUGAAGAAGGCCUUCGGGUUGUAAAGUACUUUCAGCGGGGAGGCGGUACCCGCAGAAGAAGCACCGGCUAACUCCGUGCCAGCAGCCGCGGUAAUAC